rnacentral:other from 1 species
UUUCCCCUGCGGUGUUCGUUUGGGUCGUAAUUUCCUUGAACCAAUGUCUUCGCGACAUGGUUGCCGACCAACAAACCGCUGUUGUGAGCUCCCCUUUGCGGGAGCACCUGAUGCGGCAGGAACGCGACCGCCCUGAACCCAGGUUCAGGAUGCCGAUUCGAACGGCACAGGCGGGGGAUCC